rnacentral:rRNA from 1 species
GGGUUGUGAGGUUAAGCGACUAAGCGUACACGGUGGAUGCCCUGGCAGUCAGAGGCGAUGAAGGGCGUGCUAAUCUGCGAUAAGCGCCGGUAAGGUGAUAUGAACCGUUAUAACCGGCGAUACCCGAAUGGGGAAACCCAGUGUGAUUCGUCACACUAUCAUUAACUGAAUCCAUAGGUUAAUGAGGCGAACCGGGGGAACUGAAACAUCUAAGUACCCCGAGGAAAAGAAAUCAACCGAGAUUCCCCCAGUAGCGGCGAGCGAACGGGGAGGAGCCCAGAGCCUGAAUCAGCAUGUGUGUUAGUGGAAGCGUCUGGAAAGGCGCGCGAUACAGGGUGACAGCCCCGUACACAAAAGCGCAUGUGCUGUGAGCUCGAUGAGUAGGGCGGGACACGUGGUAUCCUGUCUGAAUAUGGGGGGACCAUCCUCCAAGGCUAAAUACUCCUGACUGACCGAUAGUGAACCAGUACCGUGAGGGAAAGGCGAAAAGAACCCCGGCGAGGGGAGUGAAAAAGAACCUGAAACCGUGUACGUACAAGCAGUGGGAGCACCCUUCGGGGUGUGACUGCGUACCUUUUGUAUAAUGGGUCAGCGACUUAUAUUCUGUAGCAAGGUUAACCGUAUAGGGGAGCCGGAGGGAAACCGAGUCUUAAUUGGGCGUUAAGUUGCAGGGUAUAGACCCGAAACCCGGUGAUCUAGCCAUGGGCAGGUUGAAGGUUGGGUAACACUAACUGGAGGACCGAACCGACUAAUGUUGAAAAAUUAGCGGAUGACCUGUGGCUGGGGGUGAAAGGCCAAUCAAACCGGGAGAUAGCUGGUUCUCCCCGAAAGCUAUUUAGGUAGCGCCUCGUGAAUUCAUCUCCGGGGGUAGAGCACUGUUUCGGCUAGGGGGCCAUCCCGGCUUACCAACCCGAUGCAAACUGCGAAUACCGGAGAAUGUUAUCACGGGAGACACACGGCGGGUGCUAACGUCCGUCGUGAAGAGGGAAACAACCCAGACCGCCAGCUAAGGUCCCAAAGUCAUGGUUAAGUGGGAAACGAUGUGGGAAGGCCCAGACAGCCAGGAUGUUGGCUUAGAAGCAGCCAUCAUUUAAAGAAAGCGUAAUAGCUCACUGGUCGAGUCGGCCUGCGCGGAAGAUGUAACGGGGCUAAACCAUGCACCGAAGCUGCGGCAGCGAACGUAUCACC